rnacentral:rRNA from 1 species
AGAACGAACGCUGGCGGCAGGCUUAACACAUGCAAGUCGAACGGCUGUAGCAAUACAGCAGUGGCAGACGGGUGAGUAACACGUGGGAACCUUCCUAGGGGUACGGAACAACUCAGGGAAACUUGAGCUAAUACCGUAUACGUCCGUAAGGAGAAAGAUUCAUCGCCCCUAGACGGGCCGUGCGUAGGAGUUAGGUAGUUGGUGGAGGUAACGGCGUCACCAAGCCUACCGAUCCUUAGCUGAUCUGAGAGGGUGGAUCAGCCACACUGGGACGUGAGACACGGCCCGACGACUCCUACCGGGAGGGCAGCAGUGGGGAAGUCGUUGGACGAAUGGGCGGCAAGCC